rnacentral:rRNA from 1 species
CUACGGGGGGCUGCAGUCGAGAAUCGUCUACAGUGGGGGAAACCCUGAUAGUGCGACGCCGCGUGAACGAUGACACCCUUCGGGGCGUAAAGUUCUUUUCAAUGUGAGCAGUGGGUAAUAAGUGAAUAAUUUAUUACACGAGAUAUUAGUAUUGGAAUAAGCCACGGCUAACUCCGUGCCAGCAGCCGCGGUAAUACGGGGGUGGCAAGCGUUGUCCGGAAUCACUUGGCGUAAAGGGCAGGUAGGCGGACUUGUAAGUCAGAUGUUAAAGGCAGCGGCUCAACCGUUGUAUUGCAUUUGAUACUGCAAGUCUAGAGUUAGGUAUGGGAGGACGGAAUUCCCGGUGUAGCGGUGGAAUGCGCAGAUAUCGGGAAGAACACCAAAGGCGAAGGCAGUUCCCUUGGCCAUAACUGACGCUAAACUGCGAAGGUGUGGGUAUCAAACAGGAUUAGAUACCCCGGUAGUC